AUUGAACGCUGGCGGCAGGCCUAACACAUGCCAGUCGAGCGGAUGAAGGGAGCUUGCUCCUGGAUUCAGCGGCGGACGGGUGAGUAAUGCCUAGGAAUCUGCCUGGUAGUGGGGGAUAACGUCCGGAAACGGGCGCUAAUACCGCAUACGUCCUGAGGGAGAAAGUGGGGGAUCUUCGGACCUCACGCUAUCAGAUGAGCCUAGGUCGGAUUAGCUAGUUGGUGGGGUAAAGGCCUACCAAGGCGACGAUCCGUAACUGGUCUGAGAGGAUGAUCAGUCACACUGGAACUGAGACACGGUCCAGACUCCUACGGGAGGCAGCAGUGGGGAAUAUUGGACAAUGGGCGAAAGCCUGAUCCAGCCAUGCCGCGUGUGUGAGGAAGGUCUUCGGAUUGUAAAGCACUUUAAGUUGGGAGGAAGGGCAGUAAGUUAAUACCUUGCUGUUUUGACGUUACCAACAGAAUAAGCACCGGCUAACUUCGUG
rnacentral:rRNA from 1 species